rnacentral:rRNA from 1 species
CUAUGCGCCUUGCCAGCCCGCUCAGGUGUGCCAGCAGCCGCGGUAAUACGUAGGGGCAAGCGUUAUCCGGAUUUACUGGGUGUAAAGGGAGCGUAGACGGCAGCGCAAGUCUGGAGUGAAAUCCCGGGGCUCAACCCCGGAACUGCUUUGGAAACUGCGCGGCUCGAGUGCAGGAGGGGCAGGCGAAAUUCCUAGUGUAGCGGUGAAAUGCGUAGAUAUUAGGAGGAACACCAGUGGCGAAGGCGGCCUGCUGGACUGUAACUGACGUUGAGGCUCGAAAGCGUGGGGAGCAAACAGG